UUAUGACCAUAUCACAUUGAAACACCAGUUCUCAUAUGAUCACCAAAGUUAAGCAAUGCCGAUCCUGGUCAGUACCUAGAUGGCACACCACUUGCAAAUACUAGGUGAUGUAAG